AAAGUCGUAACAAGGUAACCGUAGGUGAACCUGCGGUUGGAUCAUUAAAAAAUGAUUGUCAAACCAGACUCCGGUCGCAAGACUGUUGAAUCUGGCGAGACUCAACCACCCUUUGUGCACUAUAAUGUUUUUUGGCUUGCGAACUCUAGAGUUCUACGGCCAACAAUAUAAACAAACCUUUAUAAAUUUGCCUUAAUUUUUAAAAUAUUAAAAAUAACAACUUUUGACAACGGAUCUCUUGGCUCUC
rnacentral:misc_RNA from 1 species